AUUGAACGCUGGCGGCAUGCCUUACACAUGCAAGUCGAACGGCAGCGGGGGAGAAGCUUGCUUUUCCUGCCGGCGAGUGGCGAACGGGUGAGUAAUACAUCGGAACGUGCCCUGUAGUGGGGGAUAACUCGUCGAAGGAUUAGCUAAUACCGCGUACGACCUGAGGGUGAAAGUGGGGGACCGCAAGGCCUCAUGCUAUAGGAGCGGCCGAUGGCUGAUUAGCUAGUUGGUGGGGUAAAGGCCUACCAAGGCGACGAUCAGUAGCUGGUCUGAGAGGACGAUCAGCCACACUGGGACUGAGACACGGCCCAGACUCCUACGGGAGGCAGCAGUGGGGAAUUUUGGACAAUGGGCGAAAGCCUGAUCCAGCAAUGCCGCGUGUGUGAAGAAGGCCUUCGGGUUGUAAAGCACUUUUGUCCGGAAAGAAAUGGCUCUGGUUAAUACCUGGGGUCGAUGACGGUACCGGAAGAAUAAGGACCGGCUAACUACGUGCCAGCAGCCGCAGUAACAC
rnacentral:rRNA from 1 species